rnacentral:lncRNA from 1 species
CAGUAGUUAAGGGCAAGAUUAGAACUCAGGCCUCCAGCUGCAUCUGACCAAAGGGAUGCUCCCUCGGAUCUGUCCUCUCUGUCCAAUACCACUCUAGGACUGACCGAGGCUCCUGUGUCUAAUGUAUUUGAGGUGGAAACCUCUUUGAGGAAUUUCCUGCUGCCCAGGGCCCUCCGUGGACUUCACCAAGGAUUCUGCAUUAGGAGACUCAACGCAGAUGCUGCGAGGAUAUUUCCCAUGAAUCAGCCAAGAUGCUUGCAAGAAUUACAGACGGACGCCCAGGCUCCGGAGGGCUGAGCUCUUAGAGGGGCUAAUGACCAUGGGGCUGCCCUCCCCAGAAUUCCUCUUUCUCUCUGGACAGACCAUUACCUUCCAAUCUGCUGGUGCCCAUGGCCUGCUCCCUGCACGCGCCUCUCUUCUCUGCUGGCUCCUCUCCCACCCCACUCCCUCCUCCUCUUUCUCCUCUCCUUCCUCCUUUAGCCUUCUGACUUGGAAGGGCAGCUGUGGGGAGCCAGCUGCAACCUCCCCCAACACACACAUCCUAUAUCCAGACUCCAGAACCCAGAGGAAGCAGAUGGGAGGAUGAGAGAGGAGCUCAGGCCAAACAUCCUUCUUCCCCCUUCCCAGAGUUCCCCUCAGCAUCCCUGGUUUACCUCUGCUCUGAACAGGAACCCUCCGCUGCGAGAACCUUACAGGGUGACAGAAAGGACAGGCAGUGCAAGUUCACUCAGUCCUUUCAUGCAACAGGUACUUAUUGAGCAACUACUAGGUAGCAGGUGCCGAGGAGACCAGGGCGAACAAACGCAAUAGUGUUUAUGCUCACGGAGGCACCAACUCACCAGAAGGCCCUCUUUGGAGGCCUUUUGUGCCUUCCUGCCUUGGAUGAUGUGAGCAGUUGUCCUGGGCCCUGCCUGGGAGUCUGGGGGCACAGGCAAGUUCAGCUGUUGCCGUGACCAUAUGCUCUCUGCAGAGCCUUCUCCACCUGCCCAGCCCCUGGGCUCUUCCUGGGGCACUGUCCACCCCCUUCCCUUCUUGCCCCACUUCCCCCUCCCUGACAGUGGCCAUCAGUCUCCCAUGCUGGUGGCCACUGCAUUCCCUGGAAGAGCUUUCACCCAGCUCAGCCCCAGGUCGGGCUGAUUCUGGAGUCUGCAGCUGGGGCCUGGGCUCUGUGUGUUUUAAGGCUCUCCAGGUCUUUCUGCGACACUUCCAGAUAGAGAGCCCCAAAGGAGUAAGGACAAAGGCCGAAGGACAUCUGCCCUGAAGCUGUGAUGUCCAGAGGAGGGGGCCUAAGGGCUUCUGAGAAAGACCGGGGACCUCAGAGCCGGGUUAGAGGAGGCAGGGCCAAUGCAGUGGGUCCAGAGGUGGCUGUUGACACUCACUCAGGGAGACCAGCAAGAAGCAGAGAUUCUGCCUCCUCUUGAGGCCUCACCCAGAGCCCUCUGUUCCUGCAGGCUGAUUCAAGGAGAAAGUGGAGCAGAACAGGCAUGGGGCCUCUCCGGCUUCUUUUUCUGUUCCUCCCCAUCUCUUGGUCUUUCAAGGUACAAUUCAAAUUUCACCUCCUCCAGAGAGCUUCCCUGAUGGCCCAGAUCAAAACCUAGUCACAGGCUUCCACAAGUAUUUCCUUUGGAUUAUAUGCUUGAUGAAUCAAACUUGGAUUGAAAAUGACCUUGAAGUUGGCUGACUCAUUCAUGCAGGCCUUCAGGACGUAUUGUACACAGGUAGACUCAUCUUGAAGUCAGAGGCCCAAGUGCCUGGGGCCACAUACAGUUGCUGGGAGCUCCUGGGAACACGGUGGCUCUCUUAAGCCCCUCUCACCUUCACCCAUUUGCCUGGGUGAUUGCACCUGGAGGAGCCCCUUCCUCAGAAGCUCCAGCCAGAAAACUUGCCACAAGAUCCUGGGCAAACAGCCCUCUGUGUGGAUAUGCAGGGUCCUUC